rnacentral:lncRNA from 1 species
ACAGUGUUUGUUCUUGCACAUGUUAGUUUGGAAGUGCAAAAAGGGUUAAUCAUUCCUGCAGCACCGCACCAUACCUGUAAUACAGCCUGCAGCUACUGAAUUGGCUCUCUCUCCUUCACUUGACAAAACACGGCACAGCCUAGACAGAAUGGUUCUCAGUGGUCUUGUGCAGAUGGUGCCAAGCUGACUUCUCUUGGAUUUCUUCUUCGACUUAAACAUCUGAUUUGGGGGUACUGUUUAAUGAAGAAACCUACACCCCAAAUUAAAACAAAGCCCAAGAACUUGGUGCUUCCAACCACAUAGAUUUUCAGUGAGAGGUGUAAGUAUGUGUCAUCUAAUCAUCAUCCCAUGCUCUCUUGAAGAGU